AUUGAACGCUGGCGGCAGGCCUAACACAUGCAAGUCGAGCGAGCGGCGGACGGGUGAGUAAUUUACGGGGACUGCCCGACAGAGGGGGAUAACUACUGGAAACGGUAGCUAAUACCGCAUACUCUCGGAUAAACCCUAUGGGAUUGGCUAGUAGGUGAGGUAAUGGCUCACCUUGGCGACGAUCCCUAGCUGGUCUGGGAGGAUGAUCAGCCACCCUGGGACGGAGACACGGCCCAGACUCCUACGGAGGCGGCAGUGGGGAAUAUUGCACAAUGGGCGAAAGCCUGAUGCAGCCAUGCCGCGUGUAUGAGGAAGGCCCUAGGGUUGUAAAGUACGUUCAGUCGGGAGGCGUUACCGACAGAAGAAGCACCGGCUAACUCCGUGCCAGCAGCCGCGGUAAUUC
rnacentral:rRNA from 1 species